rnacentral:lncRNA from 1 species
AAAGUGGAGGUCUAAGUGAUCAAAACUGAAAACCGCAUUUGCCGAUAUGGGGGUCAAAGUGACCAGGGAGGUUUGAGUUUCCCUUAUUAUUAUUUCAUGAUUUAGGUUCGAGUUCCCCAUAAAUCAUUAUAUGAUCAGGUGCUUAAGUCAGCUUGGUAUAUGUUGGGAGGUUCGAGUCCCCCGUGUGCAUAUAUAUGAGAUUAUUCUCUAAUUCCUGUGGCUACACGCACUGGGGCCCGACCAAGAG